UUGCAGUUAAAAAGCUCGUAGUUGGAUUUCGGAACCGGCCGAUUGGUCCGUCCUCUGGAUCGUGUACUGAUCGGUCUGUUCUUCUUCGCGAAGACCGCGUGUGCUCUUAACUGAGUGGGCGUGGGAUUCGCGACGUUUACUUUGAAAAAAUUAGAGUGUUCAAAGCAGGCAGUCGCUUGAAUAUCUCAGCAUGGAAUAAUAGAAUAGGACUUUGGUCUUAUUUUGUUGGUUUCCGAGACCGAAGUAAUGAUUAAUAGGGACAGUUGGGGGCAUUCGUAUUUCAUUGUCAGAGGUGAAAUUCUUGGAUUUAUGAAAGACGAACUUCUGCGAAAGCAUUUGCCAAGGAUGUUUUCAUUAAUCAAGAACGAAAGUUGGAGGCUCGAAGACGAUCAGAUACCGUCCUAGUUCCAACCAUAAACGAUGCCGUCUGCGGAUCGGAGGUCGCUCAUGUAAGGCUCCUUCGGCACGCUAUGAGAAAUCAAAGACUUCGGGUUCCCGGGGGGAGUAUGUUCGCAAGAAUGAAACUUGAAGGGAAUUGG
rnacentral:rRNA from 1 species